rnacentral:rRNA from 1 species
GACGGAGGGUGCUAGCGUUGUUCGGAAUUACUGGGCGUAAAGGGCGCGUAGGCGGCCGCUUAAGUCGGGUGUGAAAGCCCGGGGCUCAACCCCGGAACUGCAUCCGAGACUGGGUGGCUGGAGAUCGGGAGAGGAGAGUGGAAUACCCAGUGUAGAGGUGAAAUUCGUAGAUAUUGGGUGGAACACCGGUGGCGAAAGCGGCUCUCUGGCCCGAUUCUGACGCUGAGGCGCGAAAGCGUGGGGAGCAAACAGG